CAUACCCAACAGCUAGCCCUCCCACCCAAAAACAACAAACACCAUUAAUAACCCCUCAAACCAAAUACUUCCCCCAAAUUAAAUCAUUCUCCCUCCUGAGUAUGGGAGACAGAAAAGGACCUCACGGCGCUAUAGAAAAAGUACCGCAAGGGAAAGCUGAAAGAGAAAUGAAAUAACCCAGUAAAGAGAAAAAAAGCAGAGACUAACCCUCGUACCUUUUGCAUCAUGAUUUAGCCAGCAGCCUUCAAGCAAAGCGCACUUUAGUUUGAAACCCCGAAACUAAGCGAGCUACUCCAAGACAGCCUAUUAUAGGGCAAACCCGUCUCUGUGGCAAAAGAGUGGGAAGAGCUUCGAGUAGAGGUGACAGACCUACCGAGCUUAGUUAUAGCUGGUUGCCUAAAAAAUGAAUAGAAGUUCAGCCUUUUAACUUUCUCCGUUUCAAAAUGGACUCCCACCACCAAAUACAAGAGAAAUUAAUAGAGUUAUUCAAAGGGGGGACAGCCCCUUUGAAAAAAGACACAACUUUAAUAGCAGGCAAAAGAACAAAAGAAUCAAGGCACUAUAUCCUAGUGGGCCUAAAAGCAGCCACCCAUGUAGAAAGCGUUAAAGCUCAAAUAUUAAGCACCCUCAAUUCCGACAACCACAUCCUAAGCCCCUUAACUUAUUAGGCCUUUCCAUGCAAACAUGGAAGAGACCAUGCUAAUAUGAGUAAUAAGAGGGCCAAGCCCCUCUCCAAGCACCCGUGUAAAUCAGAACGAACCCCCACUGAAAAUUAACGUCCCCAAUCAAAGAGGGAAUUGAGCCCACACACAUAUAAACCUAGAAAAGCCUUCAACAGACUAAACGUUAACCCCACACAGGUGUGCCCAAGGAAAGACUAAAAGAAAAAGAAGGAACUCGGCAAACACUGGCCUCGCCUGUUUACCAAAAACAUCGCCUCUUGCAUCAUAAGUAUAAGAGGUCCCGCCUGCCCUGUGACGAGAAGUUUAACGGCCGCGGUAUUUUGACCGUGCGAAGGUAGCGUAAUCACUUGUCUUUUAAAUGAAGACCGGUAUGAAUGGCAUAACGAGGGCUAAGCUGUCUCCUUUUUCCAGUCAAUGAAAUUGAUCUGCCCGUGCAGAAGCGGGCAUUCAUCCAUAAGACGAGAAGACCCUAUGGAGCUUUAGACACCAGGACAGCCCACGUUAAAACACCCCAAUACAUCAAAGGACCAAACUAAAUGGCCCCUGUCUUCCUGUCUUUGGUUGGGGCGACCGCGGGGCAACAAAAACCCCCCACGUGGAACGAAACAUCCUUUCCUAAAACCAGAGCCACAGCUCUAAUAUACAGAACUUCUGACCAACAAGAUCCGGCACUGCCGAUCAACGGACCGAGUUACCCUAGGGAUAACAGCGCAAUCCCCUUUUAGAGCCCAUAUCGACAAGGGGGUUUACGACCUCGAUGUUGGAUCAGGACAUCCUAAUGGUGCAGCCGCUAUUAAGGGUUCGUUUGUUCAACGAUUAAAGUCCUACGUGAUCUGAGUUCAGACCGGAGAAAUCCAGGUCAGUUUCUAUCUAUGAAGUGCUCUUUUCUAGUACGAAAGGACCGAAAAGAUGAGGCCUCUACUACAAGCAAGCCUCCCCCUUACCUAAUGAAGCCAACUAAAAUAGGCAAAAGGGCACAACUCCCCUGCCCAAGAAAAUGGCAA
rnacentral:rRNA from 1 species